AACAAAAAAAUCCUAACUCUAAUAGAAUACUAACUAAACUCUAAUUAAACCAUAAUAAUGCUAAGCAAGCUUUAAUCAAAUUCAAAAAAUCUUCAAAGAAAUUUCAAAGAAACAAUAAGAAAUCUUAAAGAAAUAUUAGAAUGAUUACAAAUAUAUCUCAAAUACAUCUCAAUUCGAUCUUAAUUUAAUCCUAGUUAAAAUCCUAUUAGACUUCAUUCAAAUUUUAGACCAAAACUAAUUAAAUCUUAAAUCCUAAAAAAAUCCUAAUAAAAUCCUAAAUCCUAAAUCAAAUCCUAAAUCCUAAACCAAAUCCUAAUCAAAUCCUAAAUCCUAAAUCAAAUCCUAAAUCAAAUCCUAAAUCCUAAACCAAAUCCUAAUCAAAUCCUAAACCCUAAACCAAAUCCUAACUAAAUCCUAAAUCAAAUCCUAAUUAAACCUUAAAUCCUAAACCAAAGCCUAAAUCCUAAACCAAACCCUAAACCUUAAAUAAAAUCUUAUCUAAAUCCUAGUAAUUUCCACAAUAGAUUCAAACCUCAUUAACUAAUAAAUGAACCGUUGAUCUUAACUCAAAUUUUACACACCUCUUAAAAAUUAAAUUGA
rnacentral:lncRNA from 1 species